rnacentral:tRNA from 1 species
GGACCCGUAGCUCAGCUAGGUGGAGCAGCAGACUCAUAAUCUGUUGGUCACUGGUUCGAAUCCGGUCGGGUCCACCA